rnacentral:lncRNA from 1 species
CUGACUUGCCCAGUCUGGAAGCUCCCUGAAAGCCUGGCAGGCCACCCUACUUCAGCUGCAUUCGGUCCAUACACUGAGGGUCUCAGUGGGGAAAAAGCAGAGUCAUUUUAAAGAAACAUGGAUCUUAGUUUCUAGAAGGUUUUUCCCCAUCUGGCAGACAAAUUUAUGCCUAUUCCACACACAGUUCUGGAGGCUGGGAGGUUCAAGAUCAAGAUGCAGGCAGAUUCAUCUCCUGUUGCCCACUGGAAGAGUCUUUCCAUUUGCCACACUGGAUGCCACACUGGAUGGGAUAAUCUAGGAGGGAGGAACUGUGGAGAUGGUGCGCCUUGGGAUGUCCAGAAGACAGUGACCAGAAUUUCAAGAGAUGUUUUCAGAUUUCACAGUAUAAUAAGAGAAAAGGAGCCAAUCCCUUAAAUGAAGAACCUUCAAUCACUUCUCCCCAGGUGCACGUUUCAAUUUCAUUUCUUUUCAUCAACUCCUUCCCUUUGAUGAUGGGUUGCAUUGAAAACUAUUAAGAAAAGUAGGAUAUUUAAAAUGAACUGUGUUAAGAAGAGGAUCAUUUCAAAGAAUCUAUUCUGAGGAAGUGCCUUCAGCCAAUCAAAAAGCUAAAGAAACUGGAUAUAAUGUGAAUCUAGUGUAAAUUACCAUGAUGUCUCCUUCAACAUUCAUCAAGACUUCUGACUAGUCUACUUGAUCUGUGAAAAUGAGAUUACUUGAAGACCUGUCACAGAUUUUAAAGCAGAACACGAUAUAUUGAUUAUACAAAUAUUUUUAUGUCACCCUGUAUCUUAAUAAAAUAACAUUUACGUCUGGA